GGAUUUCUCUUAUCAUUGGAUCUUGUCCCUCAGGUUUUGCAAACGUUCAUUGCUCCGUGAGUCACUUGAUGAUUCAUUGAUAGACAAAAUACCUGGUCGGCAAACUGAUCGGAAGACACUUCUUGGGGAAUUGAAUUGGAUUUUCACAGCUGUUACUGAUACAAUUGCAUGGAAUGUUCUUCCACAUGAUCUAUUUCAAAGGUUGUUCAGACAGGAUUUGUUAGUUGCCAGUCUGUUCAGAAAUUUUUUGCUUGCUGAGCGGAUUAUGCGGUCUGCAAAUUGUUCUCCAAUUUCACAUCCAAUGUUACCUCCAACCCAUCAGCAUCACAUGUGGGAUGCAUGGGACAUGGCUGCCGAAAUUUGUCUUUCUCAACUUCCAGCAUUGGUUGAAGACCCCAACUUGGAGUUUCAGGUCAGUUUUUCUUCACAUGUGUUUUUAUUGUAUCAACGGUCAGAUCUUGGUAUGUGAAAGUGUCUUUACCUUAAAGGCA